GUAGCGGCGAGCGAAACGGGAAAAGCCCAAACCAAGAGGCUUGCCUCUUGGGGUUGUAGGACUCCGAUAUGGUAGUCCAGUGAGAUAGUCGAAGGACCUGGAAAGGUCUGCUAGAAAGGGUAAAAGCCCCGUAGACAAAAUUUGACUGGCACCUAGGAGGAUCCUGAGUACGGCGGAACACGAGGAAUUCCGUCGGAAUCCGGGAGGACCAUCUCCCAAGGCUAAAUACUCCCUAGUGACCGAUAGUGAACCAGUACCGUGAGGGAAAGGUGAAAAGCACCCCGGAAGGGGAGUGAAAUAGAUCCUGAAACCGUGUGCCUACAACAAGUUAGAGCCCGUUAAUGGGUGAUAGCGUGCCUUUUGUAGAAUGAACCGGCGAGUUACGAUUACUUGCGAGGUUAAGUUGAAAAAACGGAGCCGUAGCGAAAGCGAGUCUGAAUAGGGCGAAUGAGUAAGUGGUCGUAGACCCGAAACCAUGUGAUCUACCCAUGUCCAGGUUGAAGGUGCGGUAAAACGCACUGGAGGACCGAACCCACGUACGUUGAAAAGUGCGGGGAUGAGGUGUGGGUAGCGGAGAAAUUCCAAACGAACUUGGAGAUAGC
rnacentral:rRNA from 1 species